rnacentral:tRNA from 1 species
GGGCCUGUAGCUCAGUUGGUAGAGCACCGCGUUUACACCGCGGUUGUCGUCGGUUCGAACCCGGCCGGGCCCAC